rnacentral:rRNA from 1 species
AGUGUACGCUGGCGGUAGGCCUAACACAUGCAAGUCGAACGGCAGCACAGGAGAGCUUGCUCUCUGGGUGGCGAGUGGCGGACGGGUGAGGAAUACAUCGGAAUCUACUCUAUCGUGGGGGAUAACGUAGGGAAACUUACGCUAAUACCGCAUACGACCUACGGGUGAAAGCAGGGGACCUUCGGGCCUUGCGCGAUUGAAUGAGCCGAUGUCGAAUUAGCUAGUUGGCGGGGUAAAGGCCCACCAAGGCGACGAUCCGUAGCUGGUCUGAGAGGAUGAUCAGCCACACUGGAACUUAGACACGGUCCAGACUCCUACGGGAGGCAGCAGUGGGGAAUAUUGGACAAUGGGCGCAAGCCUGAUCCAGCCAUACCGCGUGGGUGAAGAAGGCCUUCGGGUUGUAAAGCCCUUUUGUUGGGAAAGAAAUCCAGCUGGCUAAUACCCGGUUGGGAUGACGGUACCCAAAGAAUAAGCACCGGCUAACUUCGUGCCAGCCGCCGCGGUAA